rnacentral:rRNA from 1 species
UACGUAGGGUGCGAGCGUUAAUCGGAAUUACUGGGCGUAAAGCGUGUGCAGGCGGUUUGUUAAGACAGGUGUGAAAUCCCCGGGCUAACCUGGGAAUUGCGCUUGUUACUGGCAAGCUAGAGUGCGUCAGAGGGAGGUGGAAUUCCACGUGUAGCAGUGAAAUGCGUAGAGAUGUGGAGGAACACCGAUGGCGAAGGCAGCCUCCUGGGAUGACACUGACGCUGAGGAGCGAAAGCGUGGGGGAGCGAACAGG